UGUGUCUCUGUGUGUGCUGAACAUCUGGAAUCAGAUUGAGUCAGGCUGCAUCAGCUGAAUCUGUUAUUUGUAAAUAUCAGUAUUUUUUAAUUCAGGUGUGGGGAAAAUACGUAAGAUUACAGUGAAGAGAUGUACCAGAUUAAUCCCUGGCCAAAGGUAUCGUACUUAAAUCAGACUACUGAUCCAGCCACAUCAGCCUUUUGUGAGGUCUGUUUAAAGUAGACUUAAAAUGAACUCCAGGUUCCUGAGAGGUGGACUGUGAGCACAGAAACACAUGUUCAUACAUACAGCUGCAGCAAGCUUACAUUAAUUUUAAAUCGAUUUGUUACUCUGAUGUCUGUCUCUCUGUUAGUCCUCUGACAGACUGGUACCUGUCCAGGUGUGCUCUACCUAUGACUACUGGGACAGGCUCUAAUAGAAAGUUUCUAUUAUUCUCAUUUAAAAACAGUUCUCCACAGUCGCUGUCCACAUGGGUCAGUGGGACCAAGCAGCACUCUGCUAAUGCGAGACUCUGACCAGCAACAUCCAGCAAGACCCAGGCAGCGUUUUCUAUCUCCCUGCUGGAGUUCUUUGUUUGUGACGGGAGAGUCAGAUUUUUGUUGACGCUGGAGGAACAGCCUCACACUUGCAGAGGUAAGUCAGUUUGUAGAGAUCCCUCCCACCCUGGCUUUUAUGUGGCAGAUUUCAUAUCUGAAACAGUAAUAUUUCAGUGACUGCUGCUUAUAUCACAGGUUAAUGCAUGCUACUGAUCCCUGAUGGGAGAAUCAUCACCUCUGCCAACAAAGAAGCCUGGUGGAUGUCUGUUUGCAGUCUGAUGAUGGGACACCAUGCUCUGCAUCUUCAAAGUUUGUUUCUUGAUUAUUAUUCAUACACAGUAAUGUGAAGUAUGCUUAUAUCUAGUAUAACUGGACCAACCUGGUGCUCUUCAUUUAUGGAGGCUGUUGAGUCUGAAUGUUGGAUGUUGUGUAUCUCGUGUUCUCUGGGCUUUGUUGUCCUCAGUCUUUUUGCAGGAUCAGAAAACAAAACCAGGAGGCCUGUAAAUGUUUCUUCUCCAAUUGGAUGAUGAUAAGACUGUGACACAGGAUGCCACCUUUAGUCUUGUGAUGAAGCAAAGCUCAGGAAGAAGUGUGAUUAAAUGGUACCCACAUGUGUGCUGCUGAGGAGGAUGUACAGGGGCACCUGCAGCCAAAUCCAAGCCUCCUCAGAGCAGAGCGGCCGUUUGUGCUCACAGAUGGUGACGGUGUGGAGAGACGGUGGUGUUUCCUCAGAAGAACUAGCAGAGUCACAAAGGGCACGAGUCCUUCUCACCACCUUGACUUACUGACUGAUGCUCGUCUGCACUGCACAGAGGAAAUCAACUGACCGAGGAGUGUUUCUGAGUGAGGGAGAGAGGAGUCAUCAUCCAGGUAAAGUGACGUGGAUCAGUGGAUACACUUGUCUCCCCUUUAAAGGAGAUACUCUUAGAGAGCGAUGAUCCGAGUCAUCCUUAAAUGUUAGUGCUUUCAAAUACACAAACAUUUUUAAAGGACAAAAACGAACAUCCAACUUUGACUGUAACACAAAAUAAAUCUUUGCAUGUGUGUUUUCAAACUCUCAGAUGGGCAGGAUAUCACUUUUGGACUGUCUAACCUGCCAGAGCAGCACUGAAUGACCACCACACAUGAGCAUGUUCCUGCAACAUUCAGCAUCUGAUCUGCCAUCUGUGUGCUUCUGCUUUUGUGUCAAAUGUCAAACAGCUGGAGAGGAAACUAAACCAGUGUACUGGGAUGUUUCACCAACACAUGCCAGAUGCUGUUCCUUCAUGGUGACAUCACCAGAGACAGCCCCGCCCACCUCAGGACCUCGCCAUUGAUCAUGAUGAUUAUAAUGAUGACAGCGAGCGGAACUAAGACUGUAAAAAUCCACGACCAGAAUGUUUAGAUGCUUUCUAAUUAUUCAUGAAUACUGAGAGCCUCUUUCUGUGUUUUGUCUGUUUUGGUUUUUUUACCUCAUUUGUUACUAACAAAGUUCAACAAACUCACACAGUUUACAUUCUGUAUGUUUCCAUCUUUACCAGCCACACUCUUAACUGCAAUUAAGAAAACAAACCGUACAAAUCGUUGCUUUUCUCUUUUGUAAUUGAUGAUAAUUCAGUGAAUAUACUGCGCUGCUUCCUUUUAUUGCGUCACACAUUGCUUUAAGUUUUUCAGUGUCCAGUUAUUUUUUACUGUUGUUUGAAUUCUCUGCAUGUUUGACCCUGUAGACUGUUUAAUGGACUGCUUGUCUUCCUGUUUGUAGCCGCCGCCUGUUUUUGACUAAAGAUUUGGAUUUCUGACUGUAACACAGCCUCUGCGUGUCCUCCCUUUGUGUCCUCUUCCUCUGUGAAUGUGUUGCAUGUGUCACAGAUUCAUUUAUUAACAGCUUUCCCACAGUCAGUUGCAUCAGCAUUCAUUCAUAGCACAUUUCAGAAGGAUUCAGAUUAAUACAGUGAUCUUACAGUCAGAAUUAUCCUGACAGACUGUAAAUUAUCUUUCAUCAGGUCAAUUUUAAAGUUCAGUAUUUCAAAGCAGGCAUUAUGAAGAAUCAUACUGGCAUUAGGACUGUAACAAUAUGUACUUACAAAGUCAAAGUUUUUUAAUUAUGCUAGAAUAUUGGAAGACAAUCAACUUUUAGUGUUUUCUGCAUAUUAAUUAUACUGAAAUAGAGACGGUGACCAUAACUGUACAGAAGCACUAAACAACUGACAA